rnacentral:rRNA from 1 species
UUGGAAACAGGUGCUAAUACCGCAUAACCAUGAACACCGCAUGAUGUUCGUGUAAAAGACGGCUUUUGCUGUCACUUUUGGAUGGGCCUGCGGCGUAUUAACUUGUUGGUGGGGUAACGGCCUACCAAGGUGAUGAUACGUAGCGGGACUGAGAGGUUGAACGGCCACAUUGGGACUGAGACACGGCCCAGACUCCUACGGGAGGCAGCAGUGCGGAAUAUUGCACAAUGGGGGAAACCCUGAUGCAGCGACGCCGCGUGGAGGAAGAAGGUCUUCGGAUUGUAAACUCCUGUUGUUGGGGAAGAUAAUGACGGUACCCAACAAGGAAGUGACGGCUAACUACGUGCCAGCAGCCGCGGUAAAACGUAGGUCACAAGCGUUGUCCGGAAUUACUGGGUGUAAAGGGAGCGCAGGCGGGAAGACAAGUUGGAAGUGAAAUCUAUGGGCUCAACCCAUAAACUGCUUUCAAAACUGUUUUUCUUGAGUAGUGCAGAGGUAGGCGGAAUUCCCGGUGUAGCGGUGGAAUGCGUAGAUAUCGGGAGGAACACCAGUGGCGAAGGCGGCCUACUGGGCACCAACUGACGCUGAGGCUCGAAAGUGUGGGUAGCAAACAGGAUUAGAUACCCUGGUAGUCCACACCGUAAACGAUGAUUACUAGGUGUUGGAGGAUUGACCCCUUCAGUGCCGCAGUUAACACAAUAAGUAAUCCACCUGGGGAGUACGACCGCAAGGUUGAAACUCAAAGGAAUUGACGGGGGCCCGCACAAGCAGUGGAGUAUGUGGUUUAAUUCGACGCAACGCGAAGAACCUUACCAAGUCUUGACAUCCCUUGACAGACAUAGAAAUAUGUAAUCUCUUCGGAGCAAGGAGACAGGUGGUGCAUGGUUGUCGUCAGCUCGUGUCGUGAGAUGUUGGGUUAAGUCCCGCAACGAGCGCAACCCUUAUGGUCAGUUACUACGCAAGAGGACUCUGGCCAGACUGCCGUUGACAAAACGGAGGAAGGUGGGGAUGACGUCAAAUCAUCAUGCCCUUUAUGACUUGGGCUACACACGUACUACAAUGGCGUUAAACAAAGAGAAGCAAGACCGCGAGGUGGAGCAAAACUCAGAAACAACGUCCCAGUUCGGACUGCAGGCUGCAACUCGCCUGCACGAAGUCGGAAUUGCUAGUAAUCGUGGAUCAGCAUGCCACGGUGAAUACGUUCCCGGGCCUUGUACACACCGCCCGUCACACCAUGAGAGCCGGGGGGACCCGAAGUCGGUAGUCUAACCGCAAGGAGGACGCCGCCGAAGGUAAAACUGGUGAUUGGGGUGAAGUCGUAACAAGGU